rnacentral:tRNA from 1 species
AGGGUUGUAGUUAAAAAUAACAUUUGAUUUGCAUUCAAAAGGUACUAAAGGAUUAGUCUUCCUU